rnacentral:lncRNA from 10 species
GCCAUCUUGUCUGCGCCAUACUGUACACGUGGCUGGCACAAAGAGACGAUGGAGCUGCCGUUUUGAACAUGCCUAGUCCCAGUGUCUGAGGCGCAUGGCCCCGGGAGAGGAGGAGAAUGGGACGGUGGUUCAGAUCUGCUGAUGUAGCUGUGGUCAGUCACUGGGGAGAAUAGGCCUGUGGAUUUCUGCUCCUCUGAGAUGGAUCCAUCACUGACUACUGAACUUGUUUUCUCAUUGGCUCAACUUAAGAAGGUUCUAGAGGAUCAAGGACGUGAAACAACCAAAACCAAAGAGCAGCUGGAGACCACUUGCCAGUGAUUAGCACGAGAGAUGUGCCAGCCCUGAGACAACCUUCCCACUGGCCAGAAAGAUGUCAGCCCCAAAGAUAACCUCCCCUCCACCCAGAGGCAUUCCAACCCUGCCAUAAACUUCUCCCCUACACGAACAUAUUCCAAGCUUGUGAUAAACCCCCUCACCCUAAAACCAAUAUAUACUCUUAGUCUGUAAGAGAGGGUGCUCCUGACUGAAAUUGGCCAGAAGCCCCUCUCAGGUUUUUUUCCACAAAAAUAAACCUAUCUUUGACUGUUAAGCACGUUUCAUGUUUCUUUCCUUUUUCUUUAACUCUUAUGGUACAGAGGGUUGCUACU